AUGGUUUUGUAUCUAAAUAGUGCAAGAGUUUCAAUCUGCUUUCAGUCAUCCACAGUUAGAGUCAAUGUAAUGAAGAAAUUACAAAUAGUUAGAGUCGUUGGUGAUGGAUUUAUUGUCGGUGUUCGAUCACAGUGGCUGCCGGUGAUUAUUCUGAGACAAAUGCUGAGUUUCACAGAACUAUUUACACUAAUCUGUGAUUUCAAGAAAAUUAGAGGCUGCAGUUACUCUGGAAAGAACAUAUACAAGUAUUUUUUUUUUGUAGUACAUGUUGAUUAA